rnacentral:rRNA from 1 species
GAGAAAAGCCUAGGAAAUUGCCCUGAUGUGGGGGAUAACCAUUGGAAACGAUGGCUAAUACCGCAUGAUGCCUACGGGCCAAAGAGGGGGACCUUCGGGCCUCUCGCGUCAGGAUAUGCCUAGGUGGGAUUAGCUAGUUGGUGAGGUAAGGGCUCACCAAGGCGACGAUCCCUAGCUGGUCUGAGAGGAUGAUCAGCCACACUGGAACUGAGACACGGUCCAGACUCCUACGGGAGGCAGCAGUGGGGAAUAUUGCACAAUGGGCGCAAGCCUGAUGCAGCCAUGCCGCGUGUGUGAAGAAGGCCUUCGGGUUGUAAAGCACUUUCAGUCGUGAGGAAGGUAGUGUAGUUAAUAGCUGCAUUAUUUGACGUUAGCGACAAGAAGAAGCACCGGCUAACUCCGUGCCAGCAGCCGCGGUAAUACGGAGGGUGCGAGCGUUAAUCGGAAUUACUGGGCGUAAAGCGCAUGCAGGUGGUUUGUUAAGUCAGAUGUGAAAGCCCGGGGCUCAACCUCGGAAUAGCAUUUGAAACUGGCAGACUAGAGUACUGUAGAGGGGGGUAGAAUUUCAGGUGUAGCGGUGAAAUGCGUAGAGAUCUGAAGGAAUACCGGUGGCGAAGGCGGCCCCCUGGACAGAUACUGACACUCAGAUGCGAAAGCGUGGGGAGCAAACAGGAUUAGAUACCCUGGUAGUCCACGCCGUAAACGAUGUCUACUUGGAGGUUGUGGCCUUGAGCCGUGGCUUUCGGAGCUAACGCGUUAAGUAGACCGCCUGGGGAGUACGGUCCGCAAGAUUAAAACUCAAAUGAAUUGACGGGGGCCCGCACAAGCGGUGGAGCAUGUGGUUUAAUUCGAUGCAACGCGAAGAACCUUACCUACUCUUGACAUCCAGAGAACUUUCCAGGAGAUGGAAUGGUGCCUUCGGGAACUCUGAAGACAGGUGCUGCAUGGCUGUCGGUCAGCUCGUGUUGUGAAAUGUUGGGUUAAGUCCCGCAACGAGCGCAACCCUUAUCCUUGUUUGCCAGCGAGUAAUGUCGGGAACUCCAGGGAGACUGCCGGUGAUAAACCGGAGGAAGGUGGGGACGACGUCAAGUCAUCAUGGCCCUUACGAGUAGGGCUACACACGUGCUACAAUGGCGCAUACAGAGGGCGGCCAACUUGCGAAAGUGAGCGAAUCCCAAAAAGUGCGUCGUAGUCCGGAUUGGAGUCUGCAACUCGACUCCAUGAAGUCGGAAUCGCUAGU